rnacentral:rRNA from 1 species
GACGAAGGAUGCAAGCGUUAUCCGGAUUCAUUGGGUUUAAAGGGAGCGUAGGUGGUCUUAUAAGUCAGUGGUGAAAUCUCUCAGCUUAACUGAGAAAUUGCCAUUGAUACUGUAGGACUUGAGUAUAGUUGCCGUUGGCGGAAUAUGACAUGUAGUGGUGAAAUACAUAGAGAAGUCAUAGAACACCGAUUGCGAAGGCAGCUGACGAAACUAUAACUGACACUGAGGCUCGAAAGUGCGGGGAUCAAACAGG